UCGAGGGGCAGCACAAGGUAGCAAUAUCUGGUGGCGACCGGCGCACGGGUGAGUAACACGUAUGCAACCUACCUGUAAGCGGGGAAUAACCCGGAGAAAUCCGGACUAACACCGCAUAACACCACUGAACUGCAUGGUUUAGUGGUUAAAUAUUUAUAGCUUACAGAUGGGCAUGCGUAUGAUUAGCUAGUUGGUGAGGUAACGGCCCACCAAGGCAUCGAUCAUUAGGGGUUCUGAGAGGAAGGUCCCCCACACUGGUACUGAGAUACGGACCAGACUCCUACGGGAGGCAGCAGUGAGGAAUAUUGGUCAAUGGGCGAGAGCCUGAACCAGCCAAGUCGCGUGAAGGAAGAAGGUUCUAUGGAUUGUAAACUUCUUUUGUAAGGGAAUAAAGUGCGCUACGUGUAGCGUUUUGUAUGUACUUUACGAAUAAGGAUCGGCUAACUCCGUGCCAGCAGCCGCGGUAAUACGGAGGAUCCAAGCGUUAUCCGGAUUUAUUGGGUUUAAAGGGUGCGUAGGCGGACCUGAAAGUCAGUGGUGAAAGUUUGCAGCUUAACUGUAAAAUUGCCAUUGAAACUCUGGGUCUUGAGUGUAAAUGAGGUAGGCGGAAUGUGUUGUGUAGCGGUGAAAUGCUUAGAUAUAACACAGAACACCAAUUGCGAAGGCAGCUUACUAGGAUACAACUGACGCUGAGGCACGAAAGCGUGGGGAUCAAACAGGAUUAGAUACCCUGGUAGUCCACGCAGUAAACGAUGAAUACUAACUGUAUGCGAUAUACUGUAUGUGGUAAAGCGAAAGCGUUAAGU
rnacentral:rRNA from 1 species